AACACCCAAAUAUGUGGUCAUAUAAUAAGAAGAACCGUAAUGUAUGAUUAUAUUACACGCCAUUUUGGUACAUUCCGUCAAUAUAAAUAUUUGUACAAUGUAUACAGACAUAAAAUACUUGUUUGUUUCGCUGAAAUGAACUAUAAUAUUUAGAUAUGGCCUGUUUUGGUCAGAAUUAGAGGGCUUUUUAAGAUUAAGUAACACGUUUUUAACACUGUGAUAAUGAAGAUAAGACUUAUUCUGGAUUUGUAGACAGAUAAACCAUUUAUUGUGUCAUUAAAGAAUUUAAGAUAGUGCUGUAUAUAGUUUAAACUUCGGAUUGUAGUCCUCGUAUGUGUGACACUAGCAGUGGCUAAUGCAUCAUCAAUGGAAGAAAACCGGUCUCGUCGCCUGAUAUUUGACGUUGAAAACAAUUUAACAAGCACAAUGAAGCAACCAUUGUCAACACAAACAAGUUCAACAUCGAAGCAACCCAGGACGUUACCACCAGUUACAACAAUGUGUGCUGUAUGUUCAGGACCCUGGUUCCUAUGAGAGAAACUUUUUGCCCCCACACCUUGCUCGCCGCCUAAAAAAUUAUUGAAUCAACGAGUUAAAAAAUGAAAU